rnacentral:rRNA from 1 species
AACGCGAAGAACCUUACCAAGACUUGACAUCGCAUGACCGGUAUGGAAACAUACUUUCCCUUCGGGGCAUGUAGACAGGUGGUGCAUGGUUGUCGUCAGCUCGUGUCGUGAGAUGUUCGGUUAAGUCCGGCAACGAGCGCAACCCUUAUAUCCAGUUGCCAAUAUUAAGUUAGGAACUCUGGAUAGACUGCCGUGGACAACACGGAGGAAGGUGGGGAUGACGUCAAAUCAUCAUGCCCCUUACGUCUUGGGCUACACACGUGCUACAAUGGGUACAACAAAGAGCCGCGAAACCGCGAGGUGGAGCAAAUCUCAUAAAAGUAUUCUCAGUUCGGAUUGUGGGCUGAAACCCGCCCACAUGAAGUCGGAGUUGCUAGUAAUCCCGAAUCAGAAUGUCGGGGUGAAUGCGUUCCCGGGUCUUGUACACACCG